UACGGGGGGAGCAAGCGUUGUUCGGAUUUACUGGGCGUAAAGGGCGCGUAGGCGGCGCAACAAGUCACUUGUGAAAUCUCCGGGCUUAACCCGGAGCGGCCAAGUGAUACUGUCGUGCUAGAGUGCGGAAGGGGCUACUGGAAUUCUCGGUGUAGCGGUGGAAUGCGUAGAGAUCCGGAAGAACACCGGUGGCGAAGGCGGCCUGCUGGGCAGUAGCUGACACUGAGGCGCGACAGCGUGGGGAGCAAACAGG
rnacentral:rRNA from 1 species